UGGUGGAGUGAUUUGUCUGCUUAAUUGCGAUAACGAACGAGACCUUAACCUGCUAAAUAGUUACGCGAACGUUCUGCGUUCGUGGCCAACUUCUUAGAGGGACUUUUGCGUGUUUUAACCAAAGGAAGUUUGAGGCAAUAACA
rnacentral:rRNA from 1 species